AGGGUUUGAAAACAUAUGUUGUAGUAUUGUAUGUAUUUUUAGGGUUAGAUUUUGGAAAGCUUAAAUAGUUUUUUGAAAAAGUAAAAAUUUUACAUGUAUAUGUUUAUUUCUUUGUAUAAUAAACAUCUUUUAAGUUUAAUUUGAUUUUAAAAAGUGCUAAGUUAGUUAAUUUAGUUUAGGAAGUCGUCUAGAAAAUUUCCAUGGGCUUAGUUAGUGGACCAAUUUUACAAAUAAUCUCUCAUGGAUUUAUUAGCGUUCCUCCGAAGCGGUGGCUGCUACAAGAAUGGAAUAUUCCAAAGCAUUCGCUUCUUCAAAAGUUUGAAGAAGAUUUUAUGAAGAUUUUUUUUCUUAUUCUCUCAAGAGUCGAAGUGGAAACACUAGCAUGUAAUAAUUAUAUGUCCUGAAUAAUCGACCCGUUUGCCAAGCAGUCGGCCAAACCGUACAUAAUAUUCCCGCCUAAAAUUGUAAGAAAAUUUUAUUUUCCCGCUUCAAUAUUAAUUUUUCCAGAACUUUAAAAAAAAAAAAAUUUUGCAUGAUAAAUAUUUAGCUUUACUGUAUUAAAAUGCAAAACCCCUAAUCUCAUAAAAAAUAAUUCUCUCUCUCAGAGCGUCUCCCUCUUCAUCUCAUUUUCUCAUGAACACUUUUCUUCUCAUAAUCUUCUAUAGCUUUCUUCCAUGGGUUUAACCUAUCCUGGGGACUCACUGAUGAUAAGAGCAGCAUGAACUCAAGAUCCGACUCAAGAUCUCUCACGCCGGGCCACCUCUCUCACGCUUGGAGGAAGCAAGACAAGAUGAGGCCGGAACCACACCACUACGGGAGAUGAAGGAUUGAGAAGAAGCUUGAUGGUUAAGGAGACAAGGCCAGCCGUGGUCGCUGUGGUGGUGGUGGUACACCGAGUGUUGCGCUCCUGCCAAAUGGCAUAAAUCGCAGCUUGCCAUGCUUGCAGAAGAGCAAUUCUAAGAACAAGAUCAGGGGAGGCAGAGGCAACCAAUAAUAAUUCUUAAAAAGUUCAGAGCCUUUGAGCGCAUCUUUAGCAGUCUUGGUUGUUCAUUCUUGAUAGGAAUCCAACACUCAGCAAAAUCAAACUUCGGUAUAUUCUCUUGGAAUUGCUUGAAGAGUCAAGAAAUCACUUAUUUUUUA